rnacentral:rRNA from 1 species
GGGUGGUAAUGCCGGAUGCUCCGGUUGGAUGCAUGUCCUUCCGGGAAAGAUCCGUCGGUAUGGGAUGGGGUCGCGUCCUAUCAGCUUGAUGGCGGGGUAACGGCCCACCAUGGCUUCGACGGGUAGCCGGCCUGAGAGGGCGACCGGCCACAUUGGGACUGAGAUACGGCCCAGACUCCUACGGGAGGCAGCAGUGGGGAAUAUUGCACAAUGGGCGCAAGCCUGAUGCAGCGACGCCGCGUGCGGGAUGGAGGCCUUCGGGUUGUAAACCGCUUUUGAUCGGGAGCAAGCCCUUCGGGGUGAGUGUACCUUUCGAAUAAGCACCGGCUAACUACGUGCCAGCAGCCGCGGUAAUACGUAGGGUGCAAGCGUUAUCCGGAAUUAUUGGGCGUAAAGGGCUCGUAGGCGGUUCGUCGCGUCCGGUGUGAAAGCCCAUCGCUUAACGGUGGGUCUGCGCCGGGUACGGGCGGGCUGGAGUGCGGUAGGGGAGACUGGAAUUCCCGGUGUAACGGUGGAAUGUGUAGAUAUCGGAAAAAAAACACCA